AUGGCUACUACUAUGAUGUCAAGAGCAUUGUUUCUCUUCCUAAUUAUUCUUCCAUUAUUUAUGAGUUCAGAAGCUAGAGUUUUUCCUAAGUUCUUAACCAUGAUGAGUGCUAAAAAGGUUAGAAGUGACCUACUAUUAAGUGACAUGCUCAAAAAUAUUGUGAGAAUUAAUGGUGAGUAUAUUCACAAGAGGUCAAUGCUUGGUGACCAAUUGGAGAGAGUAGCACCUUCUGGGCCAGAUCCUCAUCAUCACUAG